rnacentral:rRNA from 1 species
GACGAACGCUGGCGGCGUGCCUAAUACAUGCAAGUAGAACGCUGAAGGAGGAGCUUGCUCUUCUGGAUGAGUUGCGAACGGGUGAGUAACGCGUAGGUAACCUGCCUGGUAGCGGGGGAUAACUAUUGGAAACGAUAGCUAAUACCGCAUAACAGUAGAUGUUGCAUGACAUUUACUUAAAAGGUGCAAUUGCAUCACUACCAGAUGGACCUGCGUUGUAUUAGCUAGUUGGUGGGGUAACGGCUCACCAAGGCGACGUUACAUAGCCGACCUGAGAGGGUGAUCGGCCACACUGGGACUGAGACACGGCCCAGACUCCUACGGGAGGCAGCAGUAGGGAAUCUUCGGCAAUGGACGGAAGUCUGACCGAGCAACGCCGCGUGAGUGAAGAAGGGUUUCGGAUCGUAAAGCUCUGUUGUAAGAGAAGAACGAGUGUGAGAGUGGAAAGUUCACACUGUGACGGUAUCUGACCAGAAAGGGACGGCUAACUACGUG